rnacentral:rRNA from 1 species
UUCAUGGAGAGUUUGAUCCUGGCUCAGGACGAACGCUGGCGGCGUGCCUAAUACAUGCAAGUCGAGCGAAUCUUUCAGAACUUGUUCUGGAAGAUUAGCGGCGGACGGGUGAGUAACACG